ACAAUGACAAGGAAACAAAACAAAACAAAAACUAAGAGGGUUCUGUGAAUCAAUAGGGACAAAAUAUACAAAUGAAAAAGUCUUAGUAGUUCAUCCAACUGAGGCUGAGUGUGGAGGUUGGUUUCAUCUAUUACACAUAUGCUUUGAGAAAGUGAGAGACUGUAGAGAAACCUUUUGAAAGAAGAGGUGAUGGAUCUUAGAAAAGAAAAAUGAGUAGUGUAAAGAGUUGUAAAUUUAAACCUCUGGAGAGUAGGAGAGUUGAGAAGUCUGCAUGUACCAUCAUCUGGAAGGCAAGUGAUUGGAGAUGCUGUCUGACAUCAGAAAGCCUUGAAUGAGGCUGGGCAGAGAAACUUAAAUUUAGUGCAUGUUGAAGCAACAGUUUAUGGGAUAAACUGCAAGAUGCAAGAGCCCUUUUUCUAGGAACAAGAUUUACUUUCUCACAGUCCUUUGUAUCAAUUCAAUUUCUUGCUCAAAGUGCUAUAAAAUAUUGUAUAUGAGCACAGAUUGGUGUGUAUGAAGCAAAGAAAUUUCACAGCUGAAGUGGUGGCCCAAGAAAAAUGUACAGAGGCUUAAUGAUGAAUGAGAUUCUUUCAUACACCUGAGUAUUUAUUGAGCACAUACUACAUGUCCAGCAUCUGUUAGUCUUACUUUGGAGAUGAAGAGGGAUGCAAGUAUUAUUUUGAAGAAAGAAGUAGCAGAAGUUGAUGACAUUUGCUGUGUGUUUGAGUAGAAGCAGGGGAGAGGUGCACCACGAAGGAUCUCAAUACAUGCCUAUGGUUACUGACGAUGAAGAAGAGGAGGAGGAGGAAGAAGAAGAGAAGGAGAAGGAAGAGACUUGAUAAGUUAACAUGACCUUGUCUUUUAUGCUAUCGAAUUUCACACAACAGUUCAUCUAAGAACAAGUUGGGUAAACAAGUUGUCAGUUGGGUAAAGAAAGCUGCUCUAAACUUUAGUUCUAUUGCCAGCCACAUAGCAGUGGGAAUGUUACUUAAUUUCCCUGUGCCUAUAUUUUCUCCCCAGUUAAAUUCAGAUAAUAAUUCAAUUCACAUGGCUGCAAUGAUGAUGAAGAUGAUGAAAAUAAUAAACAAUUUAUUGAUCACAUACUGUGUCCUAGACACAAGGUACUUAUAAUACAUUAAAUCAUUUACUUCUUUACACAAAUCUUAAGAGGUAGGUACUAUUGUUGUCACCAUCAUCAUUAUGGUGUUAUUUGCAUUUUGACAGAUGAGGAAACAGAGGUAAAGGGAUUUCUGUAACUUGCUCGAAGUCACACAGCUAUUUAAUGUUGGCAUCAGGAUAAACCCGGGAGAGCUCUUCACUAUAAGGGUGCUACUUGCAUAAGUGCUGAGCAAUGGGCCCUACCCAGCAUAGGUAAUAAAUAACAGCACAGGUAAUAAGUAAUAACUAAACAACUGUUGCACUGGGGCACUCACAUUGCAGAGGUGGUCAAUAGAGGUUGCACGCUGUGAUCUAGCUGGACUGUCUUGUCAUGCAAUCUUUAUUUAAACAAAGGGUAGGUUAAAGGCACAGUGAGUCCCUUGAGGUCAGGGGCUAUGUCUUGCUUUCAAAGCACUUGGGACAGUUCUUGGCAUGUGAUAAACAUUUAAUAAAUGGGGCUAUCAAUGUGAUAGUUCACCACCAUGACCAAAACGUCUAGACAAGUACCUGGCUCUUUACAGCUCCUCAGCAAAUAUCUACUGAUUGAAUGAAUACUUCAAUACAUUUCUGAAUUUCAAAUGUCUUUGAUAUUCCUAAGUUUUCCUAGAGUUAUGAUUUUAAGGUAGUGAAAUGUACUCCACCGUGAAAAGACUUCUUAUAAAUCAAUGUUUGUCUACUACAAUAUCUUUCCUGUUUAAAUUUGAUUUAACUCUAGGGAAUUUGUAAGGGAAUGGUAACAGUCUGCAAUAAAGGUGAAACCCUAAUUCACUUUGAAUCAAUUGCUUGAAUGUUUAGGAAUAGUAACUGAUUAUUUUCCAGAAUCCUGGUUGAUGUGUUUUAUUACAGAUAUGCAUUGUACCCAGUUUCACACAAUCCAGUGACAUAAGUUUCAGCAAGAAUGAUGGAUUUCAAAGAAAACAUAUAUUCUACUUGCAGUAUUACCAACAUGACUAUUUUCAAUUGUGAAUCAAAUGUUUGAGUUGAGACA